UCACAAUUUCACGGUCAUUUCUAUUGCAGGUUCUGUUUUAGGAUGUGCUGUAAGGAAACGCGAUUAGCCCUGCGGGAAAACCGACUGACUUGUGAUUGGAACUUAAUUAACUGCCUUUAACAGCUACCAGGACUGGUUGCAGCUCUAUAUCAGUCCACUGGAAGAAACUGAUCUUUAUGUGGAGCAAAACGUAGCAUCACACUGAUUGGAUAUUACUUAAGCGCCAAGCCCAAAAUUCGAAAUUGGCAUUCGCUUUAAGGACAAAAAUUUUCUAUGGUAACAACGACUUAUCGAUCUUGAAGCACAACAUUUCUGGAAGAUUGGCUUUUCUACCAAACCCAAACUGUCCGCCACAUUCACAGUUUCACUAGCUGAACUCAGCCGUCAGCAACAGCUUGGCAGAUGUUGACAACAAACCACAAUAGCAUACCUAAACGAUACGGAUGGGAACAGUUAAAUUGAUUGUAGAAUAUCUUAAGCAAAAUGUUGGCAAAUAAAGUAAGUAGUAAAGCUACAAUAAUAUAAA